rnacentral:rRNA from 1 species
UACGGGGGGGGCAAGCGUUGUUCGGAAUUACUGGGCGUAAGGGCUCGUAGGCGGCCAACUAAGUCAGACGUGAAAUCCCACGGCUCACCCGUGGAACUGCCCGGCAGACUGUGGUGCUCGAGUGUGGUAGGGGAGAGCGGAACUCCUGGUGGAGCGGUGAAAUGCGUAGAUAUCAGGAGGAACACCGGUGGCGAAGGCGGCUCUCUGGUCCACAACUGACGCUGAGGUGCGAAAGCUAGGGGAGCAAACGGG